UAAUUUUUGGUGUAUGGCACAUUAAAUUUUGAAUUUAAAGGAAAUGUUUCUAGUCAUUGAAAUUAA
rnacentral:tRNA from 1 species